UCAAACCCCUAAUAUCACUGUACCAAAAGUUUUCAAUAGCAUCGAUGGAACAAACCGCAAGGUCCUGGCAGUAACGCUCCCUCAGCUUGGCACGUCCAUGCGGCUGCAUCUGGCUCGGCAUCGGAGGGUGGUUCAGGUUCUCCUGGUCCGGCUCCGCGCCUUCGUCUUCCCAGGAUGCUUGUCGGCCGUGAUGCUGCGCCAGAUGCAGACGACUCCCCCCUCCUCCUCGGUAGGGCUCGGGCUCUUCGUAGGGGUCGGUUUCAAUGUCCAUGCAGGAGUCGCCGGCCUCGGUGUAGGCAGAGUCCCGGCUGCCCUGGGUCUCCGAGUCAAAGGUGUCCUGCCGUGACAGACCCCGGCCGCUCCCCCCUCGUAGCUGCCCGCGAGAUGAGCGCAGGUAUGACUGCUGCUGCUGCUGAGGCUUCCCUACCAGGUCGCUCUGGUAGUCGUGCAGAGUGCUGCUCCCUCCACAUUCUGUCAGGGGCCCUUCAUGCUUCUGCUCGCCGUGCACUAGGUACGGCCCCUGCAGCGAGUCACGGCCAUGCACCACAGCAAACAUGCAGAGACACAAACAGCAACAGCAGUUAGUGCAGGGUUAGCAUCAGUCAGUGCACACAAAACAGACUUCAAUCAACACUGACACAAUAAGAAUCCCCUCAAGGAGAUUGUGCAACAUCUCAUAGACGCACAACAUACAGGAAACAGGUGUUAUCAGUCAAGGGUAGUGAGACAUGGAAUAACAUUCCAGCUGCAGGAAGAGAAUGUACUACCUUCAAUGCAUUCAAACCCCUUUUCAAACAACGGCUUAAGAAGAACCAGAUCUGUGUUGAUAAAUGAUAAAUGUUAUGCCAAUAUGUGUAAUAUUUAAUGUUGUAUGUUAUUAUAUUCUCUUGAGAUCCUGCAAUGCAUUUUCGUCCUCUGUAGGGGAAAGAGUUUCAGAGCUAUACUUGUGUUGUUUUUCUUCUGUUAUUGUUGUUUCUUCUGACCAGCCAGGGACUACAGAUGUAAAGUAGCAUUUUGGCUAAUUCUGGCAUUGAUAUGUUCAUCAAUAUGUAAUGUCCCCUUUUAAAUAAAUAAAAAAUAAACCAGUGGUGUAGUGCAGCCUAGAACAA